AAGAGUUUGAUCCUGGCUCAGAGCGAACGCUGGCGGCAGGCCUAACACAUGCAAGUCGAGCGAGAAAAUUCCUUCGGGGAUGAUUAAAGCGGCGGACGGGGGCGUACAACAUGGAUAACCUACCAUAAGGUCUGGGAUAACCUCGGGAAACCGAAGCUAAUACCAGAUAAGACCACAUUAUCUGCGGAUAAAGGGGUAAAAGUUUUUCGCCUUUUGAUGGGUCCAUGCUCCAUCAGGUUUUUGGGGAGGUAAAAGCUCACCAAGCCUAAGACGGAUAGCCGGCCUUAGCGGGGGAUCGGCCACACGGGGACUGAGACACGGCCCCGACUCCUACGGGAGGCAGCAGUGGGGAAUAUUGGGCAAUGGGCGAAAGCCUGACCCAGCCAUGCCGCGUGAAGGAUGAAGGCCUUCGGGUCGUAAACUUUUUUCAGGAGGGACGAUGGGACUUCGGUCUUGACGGUACCUCCAGAGGAAGCCCCGGCUAACUCCGUGCCAGCAGCCGCGGUAAUACGGAGGGGGCAAGCGUUGCUCGGAUUUACUGGGCGUAAAGGGUCCGCAGGCGGUUGAGCAAGUUAGAUGUGAAAGCUCAAGGCUUAACCUUGGAACUGCAUCUAAAACUGCUCGACUAGAGUCCAAGAGGGGUCGGCGGAAUUCCCGGGGUAGCGGGGAAAUGCGUAGAUAUCGGGAGGAACACCAGUGGCGAAGGCGGCCGACUGGCUUGGAACUGACGCUCAGGGACGAAAGCGUGGGUAGCGG
rnacentral:rRNA from 1 species